rnacentral:rRNA from 1 species
UGGGGAAUAUUGGACAAUGGGGGCAACCCUGAUCCAGCCAUGCCGCGUGUGUGAAGAAGGCCUUUUGGUUGUAAAGCACUUUAAGCAGGGAGGAGAGGCUAAUGGUUAAUACCCAUUAGAUUAGACGUUACCUGAGAAUAAGCACCGGCUAACUCUGUGCCAGCAGCCGCGGUAAUACAAGGGUGCGAGCGUUAAUCGGAAUUACUGGGCGUAAAGCGAGUGUAGGUGGCUCAUUAAGUCACAUGUGAAAUCCCCGGGCUUAACCUGGGAACUGCAUGUGAUACUGGUGGUGCUAGAAUAUGUGAGAGGGAAGUAGAAUUCCCAGGUGUAGCGGUGAAAUGCGUAGAGAUCUGGAGGAAUACCGAUGGCGAAGGCAGCUUCCUGGCAUAAUAUUGACACUGAGAUUCGAAAGCGUGGGUAGCAAACAGGAUUAGAUACCCUGGUAGUCCACGCCGUAAACGAUGUCUACUAGCCGUUGGGGUCCUUGAGACUUUAGUGGCGCAGUUAACGCGAUAAGUAGACCGCCUGGGGAGUACGGCCGCAAGGUUAAAACUCAAAGGAAUUGACGGGGUCUAGCUGUUU